UAGGGAAUCUUCCGCAAUGGACGCAAGUCUGACGGAGCAACGCCGCGUGAGUGAAGAAGGAUUUCGGUUCGUAAAACUCUGUUGUUAGAGAAGAACAGCGCAUAGAGUAACUGUUAUGCGUGUGACGGUAUCUAACCAGAAAGCCACGGCUAACUACGUGCCAGCAGCCGCGGUAAUACGUAGGUGGCAAGCGGUGUCCGGAUUUAUUGGGCGUAAAGCGAGCGCAGGCGGUCAAUUAGGUCGGAUGUGAAAGCCCCCGGCUCAACCGGGGAGGGUCAUUGGAAACUGGUUGACUUGAGUGCAGAAGAGGAGAGUGGAAUUCCAUGUGUAGCGGUGAAAUGCGUAGAUAUAUGGAGGAACACCAGUGGCGAAGGCGACUCUCUGGUCUGUAACUGACGCUGAGGCUCGAAAGCGUGGGUAGCAAACAGG
rnacentral:rRNA from 1 species